rnacentral:rRNA from 1 species
UGGCUCAGAACGAACGCUGGCGGCGUGCUUAACACAUGCAAGUCGAACGCGAAAGGGAACUUCGGUCCUGAGUAAAGUGGCGCACGGGUGAGUAACGCGUAGAUAACCUGUCUUCAUGUCUGGAAUAAUACGCCAAAGGGGUACUAAUACCGGAUAUUCUUGCUUUUCAUAAGUUAUGCAAGCAAAGGUGGCCUCUGCAUAUGCUACUGCAUGAAGAGGGGUCUGCGUACCAUUAGCUAGUAGGUGGGGUAAUGGCCUACCUAGGCGACGAUGGUUAGCGGGUCUGAGAGGAUGAUCCGCCACACUGGCACUGGAACACGGGCCAGACUCCUACGGGAGGCAGCAGUGAGGAAUAUUGCGCAAUGGGGGAAACCCUGACGCAGCGACGCCGCGUGAGUGAGGAAGGCCUUCGGGUCGUAAAGCUCUGUCAAGAGGAAAGAAGUGUACAAUGGCUAAUACCUGUUGUAUUUGACGGUACCUCUAAAGGAAGCACCGGCUAACUCCGUGCCAGCCGCCGC